AUUGAACGCUGGCGGAAUGCUUUACACAUGCAAGUCGAGCGGCAGCGCGGGGGCAACCCUGGCGGCGAGCGGCGAACGGGGUGAGUAACAUAUCGGAACGUACCCUGUCGUGGGGGAUAACUAUCCGAAAGGAUAGCUAAUACCGCAUACGACCUGAGGGUGAAAGCGGGGGAUCGCAAGACCUCGCGCGAUAGGAGCGGCCGAUAUCGGAUUAGCUAGUUGGUGGGGUAAAGGCUCACCAAGGCGACGAUCCGUAGCUGGUCUGAGAGGACGACCAGCCACACUGGAACUGAGACACGGUCCAGACUCCUACGGGAGGCAGCAGUGGGGAAUUUUGGACAAUGGGCGAAAGCCUGAGUCCAGCCAUUCCGCGUGAGUGAAGAAGGCCU
rnacentral:rRNA from 1 species